UGAUUUAACCCGAUUCGGGCUACCAGAUCGCCGGCGAUCUGAGAUGCAUACAUAUUUUUCAAAUGCCGGUAGAAUUCGAACCACGUAAGGUAGAGCAAUUUUUUUUUUUGCAUAUUAAACUGUAAGAAUUGCGCUUCCUUUUCCGACCCUAAACAUCCCCCCCGAGUUGCUGUGCGCGCGCAGACGAGUUCACAGAUUUAUAGUAAAAAGGAUGGGUCCACAAACAUGAUGUGGCAUCCAUCCCUAUAUUUGUAGAUCAGCUCGGGUCUGGCCAAUCACUUCCUGUGUUGUUCUGACGUUGACAGAAUGAAAUACUACGAGAUUUCAUGAAAUGUCACAUGACUUCAGGUGAGAUUUCAUGAAAGUCAUUUCCGUUUCCUGCACGUGCUAUUUGGCUCUGCUCUUGCAAGGCAAACACCCAAAAAAAAAAAAAUUAUGGAAAGACACGGAGUAAGAAGAUUUUACUCUGCGUCCGAAGUCUUGGAGCUCGUCACCGCUCAAGAUGGCCAAAAUGAGGAGAGGUAUUCUUCAGACCCUGAUACUGCAGACACUGAUGAGGAAGAGGACUUCAUCGAAGGGAUCGAUAAACUUCAUGAUAUUACUGGCAAUAUCGUGGAGGAGAAAGAUGGCGAUCUGAAUGAGGAUGAUGAAGAGGACAAUAACGGUGUGGUGGCAGGUGCAAGUAGAGGAAGAAAAAGAAGUCGGGAGGGUCCAGCUAGUAAAAGGAGAGGCAAAAGGUCAGAAACUCAUGUGGACACUCAAGUCAAGUGGAAAACAGAGAAGGAGACUGAUCAUUUGCUGCACCCCCCACUCCAUUUCCGUCCAAAGAGGACACCAGGUGUUCAGCUGCCCCUUUCCAAUACUGAGAUUCCGUCACCUUCAGAGCUAUUCAAAUUAUUUUUUGACCAGGCUACCAUAAAGACAUUAUGUGAAAACACUAACAAAAAUGCAGCCAAAAAUUUAGCUGCUGGAAAAAAAUUUCGUUGGACUGAUGUCACAGCUAAUGAAAUGUAUGCAUAUAUUGGACUUACUCAAUUUGUGUAUUCACUCAUGUGAAUACACAAAGACUGACACACUUUCAUUUAAAUGUUUGUAUUUUAUUGUUGAUGUACAAUGUGCAAUGUAUCUUCUGCACUUCUUUUUUCUGAUUGCACUGAUAAAAGCAUUUUUUUUAUUUUCCCUCGUUUUAUUGUUUUUAGAAAAUUGGCUGUAACUUUGAAACGAAGCUUUGAAAAAACUCCAAAUAAAUUGUGUUUGGUUUAGAA